UACGUAGGGUGCGAGCGUUGUCCGGAAUUAUUGGGCGUAAAGAGCUCGUAGGCGGUUUGUCGCGUCUGCCGUGAAAGUCCGGGGCUCAACUCCGGAUCUGCGGUGGGUACGGGCAGACUAGAGUGAUGUAGGGGAGACUGGAAUUCCUGGUGUAGCGGUGAAAUGCGCAGAUAUCAGGAGGAACACCGAUGGCGAAGGCAGGUCUCUGGGCCACUACUGACGCUGAGAAGCGAAAGCAUGGGGAGCGAACAGG
rnacentral:rRNA from 1 species